CCUACGGGAGGCAGCAGUAGGGAAUAUUGCUCAAUGGUGGAAACCCUGAAGCAGCAACGCCGCGUGGGGGAUGAAGGUUUUCGGAUUGUAAACUCCUUUUGUUAGAGAAGAUAAUGACGGUAUCUAACGAAUAAGCACCGGCUAACUCCGUGCCAGCAGCCGCGGUAAUACGGAGGGUGCAAGCGUUACUCGGAAUCACUGGGCGUAAAGAGCGCGUAGGCGGGAUAGCAAGUCAGAUGUGAAAUCCUAUGGCUUAACCAUAGAACUGCAUUUGAAACUGUUAGUCUAGAGUAUGGGAGAGGUAGGUGGAAUGCUUGGUGUAGGGGUAAAAUCCGUAGAGAUCAAGAGGAAUACUCAUUGCGAAGGCGACCUGCUAGAACAUAACUGACGCUGAUGCGCGAAAGCGUGGGGAGCGAACAGGAUUAGAUACCCUUGUAGUC
rnacentral:rRNA from 1 species